CCUACGGUGUGCAGCAGUGGGGAAUCUUGCGCAAUGGGCGAAAGCCUGACGCCGCGACGCCGCGUGCGGGAUGAAGGUCUUCGGAUCGUCAACCUCUGUCAACAGGGCAGAACGGUCACUGUGCUAAUCAGCAGUGAAUUGACGGUACAUGCAAGGGAAGCACCCGCUAACUCCGUGCCAGCAGCCGCGGUAAUCCGGAGGGUGCGAGCGUUAAUCGGAAUUACUGGGCGUACAGCGCUCGUCGGCUGUAUGUCAAGGCAAGGGUGAAUUCCCCGCGCUCAACGUGGGAACUGCCUUUGAACCUGGCAAACUGGAGUGUGUGAGAGGAUAGUGGAAUUCCAGGUGUAGGAGUGAAAUCCGUAGAUAUCUGGAGGAACAUCAGUGGCGAAGGCGACUAUCUGGCACAUAACUGACGCUGAGGAGCGAAAGCGUGGGUAGCAAACAGGAUUAGAUACCCCAGUAGUC
rnacentral:rRNA from 1 species